GCACCGGCAAAAUCCGGUGUCAGGAUUGGAACCCUGAAAUUACUAAAGGCGACACAUGACGCGCCCAGCGUCUUUUUU
rnacentral:sRNA from 1 species